UCCGGCACUCUUCAGCUUGUAAAUAACCUUAGCUCAGCUGAACCCACCCUUAUAUAGAAACAAUCUCUUGCAGGCACUCGAGUAAAAGGUAGAAACAAAUUCUUGCUGUGGGAAUCAGAAGCGCUAGCCCUGGACAGCACGUCAGGAAGGCUCAGCUGCACGCACGAGCGCUGAGGACCCAUAGGAAGCAUAAUAAUAACCAGUGCGAAUGAAAAGCAGUGCAGCUGCUGCCCGUGACAGAGAGCACUGCAGUUCAACCCAGAGCAGAUUUCACAGGCAGCAAUUCAAGCUAAAGGCAAGCAAAGGAGCCACGAGCAUCACCGGGGACUGAGACAAGGCUGACCUCGGUCUCGGCUGUGGCCGUGCUGUCAUGGUUAAAAACAGCACACCGUGAUGUCACCUGUGGUGCUACCUCUACGACAGCGGGUCCCAAAUUAGGAUGUGGGCACCUCCAGAGGCUCCUGCAGGGUUUGUUGUUUUCGCACAGGCACAAAGCCUAGGACAGUGAGUGGUAUGAAGUUUUGUUAUGGUUUAGAGCCAUUCAAGUCCUGCUUUUAUGUGGUCUUUCUGCCGCAAACUGUCACCCACCAUAAUAAGCCUUUUUUAAACAACCUGUUUAUUCACUGAGACACAGCACGCAUUUCAUAUGGUCCCAUGUGUAUAAUGCUGUAUCUCUAAC